AUAAUAGUCAGAAAAUCCAUCCAUUGUUCUGUGGCUGUACACAACCGGAAUACUUUGGUUACUAAUCAAUCCAUCAAUCACUUCAUUACCAGGAUCCGUCCAGGAAGCUGCACCCAUGCCAGCUAAGACUAAACCUUUGGCUCCCAGAUCUACUGCAGCCUUUGCCAAGUUAGGAUUCAGUCCCUGAUAUCCAUACAAAAUUUCAACUGCUGGUAAUUCAGUAGUGUUGCUAACGUCAAAAUGAACUUUACCAGUUGGUGUAGCAGGGCUAUAGAAGAAAUGUGGUCUUUGAUCAAGAAUCAUACCAAGGAAUCCUGCCUCAUAUGACUUGAAGGUAUCAAGCAUAUUUCCAUUUGUCUUUGUAGUAUAAAAGGCAGAUCCAAUACGAUCAUUUAAUAAGAUCAUAGUACCGCGACCAAUAGAUCGAUUAGAGGCCGCUACCACUACAGCAUUUAACAAGUUCAUAGGGCCAUCAGCGCUAAUUGCAGUAGAAGGUCUCAUUGCUCCAACAACUACAAUGGGCUUUGUAGUAUUGACAGUCAUGUCCAAAAACAUCGCGGUUUCUUCAAGUGAAUCUGUACCAUGUGUAACAACAAUACCAUGAACAUCGGGUUUGGCAACUUCGGCUAGAAUCAACUGAGUAAGAUUCAAAACGUUAGCAGGUGUCAGUUCUUCACUGCCAACAUUAGUAACUUGGACUCCACGAAUGUUUGAAAAGUUCUUGAUAGCAGGAACUGCAUCAACCAGUGUUGCUAUUCCUACAGAGCCAGCGGCAUAGUCAACUGUUUCAGUGCUGGAUGAAGCAUAUCCAGCGAUAGUU